GAUGAACGCUGGCGGCGUGCCUAAUACAUGCAAGUCGAGCGAACGGACGAGAAGCUUGCUUCUCUGAUGUUAGCGGCGGACGGGUGAGUAACACGUGGAUAACCUACCUAUAAGGCUGGGAUAACUUCGGGAAACCGUAGCUAAUACCGGAUAAUAUUUUGAACCGCAUGGUUCAAAAGUGAAAGACGGUCUUGCUGUCACUUAUAGAUGGAUCCGCGCUGCAUUAGCUAGUUGGUAAGGUAACGGCUUACCAAGGCAACGAUGCAUAGCCGACCUGAGAGGGUGAUCGGCCACACUGGAACUGAGGCACGGUCCAGACUCCUACGGGAGGCAGCAGUAGGGAAUCUUCCGCAAUGGGCGAAAGCCUGACGGAGCAACGCCGCGUGAGUGAUGAAGGUCUUCGGAUCGUAAAACUCUGUUAUUAGGGAAGAACAUAUGUGUAAGUAACUGUGCACAUCUUGACGGUACCUAAUCAGAAAGCCACGGCUAACUACGUG
rnacentral:rRNA from 1 species